AGCUGUCAUGUAAUUGGGAGCUAAUACAAGAGCAAGUCAUAUAUGGGGUGAGAGAGAUGUGUUGGAGGCUAAGAACACUUGCUGCUCUUCCACUGGACCCGGUUUCAGUUCCCAGCACCUACUUUGUGGCUCCCACUUGUUUGUAACUCUAGUUCCAGGGUGAUCUGACAACCUCUUUUUUGGUCUUCUUGGGGAGUCAGGUGUGAAAGUUGGCAAAGCACCGUACACAUUAACAAAAAAAGAUAACGAAUAUGAAGACAGCCCAGGGGAAAGAUGGAAAUUAGUGUUUGGAGUGAUUGCUGAACUGCUAGAUCAUACUGAUACUGAUGUUAUAUCUGAAUUUUUUUUACCUAACUUUCCAAGCAUAUGAAUGACAAAUUCUCUGAUGGUCUUAGUCCCAGGUGGGCUAACUAUUAAUAGCUACAGAAUCUCACUUAUAAAACAAGAUCCAGUUUUCUGUUUGCUUUUUGUUUGGGUGUGUUUAAAAUUGAAGCAUGAAUCUCUGUGUCUCAUUGUAUUAGUCAGGGUUCUCUAGAGUCACAGAACUUAUGGAUAGUCUCUAGAUAGUAAAGGAAUUUAUUGAUGACUUACAGUCGGCAGCCCAAUUCCCAACAAUUGUUCAGUCGCAGCUGUGAAUGGAAGUCCAAGGAUCUAGCAAUUACUCAGUCUCACACGGCAAGCAGGCGAAGGAGCAAGAGCAAGAGCUAGACUCCCUUCUUCCAAUGUCCUUAUAUUGUCUCCAGCAGAAGGUGUAGCCCAGAUUAAAGGUGUGUUCCACCACACCUUUAAUCCCAGAUGAAAGGUGUAGCCCAGAUUAAAGGUGUGUUCCUUAAACUCCGAGAUUCAAUCUUCUGGAAUCCAUAGCCACUAUGGCUCAAGAUCUCCAAACCAAGAUCCAGAUAAGGAUCUCCAAGCCUCCAGAUAAGGGUCACUGGUGAGCCUUCCAAUUCUGGAUUGUAGUUCAUUCCAAAUAUUGUCAAGUUGACAACCAGGAAUAGCCACUACACUCAUCAAUUGGCAUUUAGUUUUAAAUAUUUUACUAUUUUAAAAAUCAUGUGUAUGUGUGAAUGUGAAUGUGCAUAUCAGUGCAGGUACCUGCAGAGUCCAAAGACAGCAUAUCCUCUGGAACUGGAGACUGGUUCACAGGCAAUUGUAACGUUUCCUGAUGUGGGUGCUGGGAAGUGUACUUGAGUUCUUUGAAAAAACAGUAUGCCACUGAGCCAUCUCUUCAGCUCCUAAAGAUUAAUUUUUAUGUCAAUUUGUUUGUGUGUAUAUGUGCACAUGUGUGUGCAGGUGCCCUUUGAGGCCAGAUCCCCUGGGACAGGAAUUUGUGAACAGCCCAAAGUGGGUGGUGGGAUCUGUACUCCAGCCCUCUGAUAGAGCAGUAAAUGCUCUCAAUUGUUCAGCCAACUCUUCAGCCCUGAUGUCUAGUUUUAAAAUGGCUUGGCACGGCAGUCCAUUUUUGUGAUGCCAGCAUGUGGAUCCUGAGAUAGAACAGUGACAAAUUCAACAUCAGCCUGAGCUUCAUAUGGUGUUUUGGGCUAGCCUGUGAUGCAUAGUAAACCCUGAUCUCAAAAAAGCAAACCAAAUCAAAACAAAACUGCAGACUGUUUACUCUCAUGUAUGAAUGCUAUCUGUGAAGAGGAAAAUAUUCUAAAACUGCUGUCUUUUUGUUACUGGAAGGAAUCUUUUCUUGUCCUCAAGUACUUAGGGUUUUUGAACAGGAACCAGUGCUACAUUUACUCUCCCCUUUUCUGUGAGGGCUUUUGUUUGAACUUAUCAUUAUUCUUGGCAUCUGAAUGCUAUAAGAUAAUGGGAUGUCUUUAAUUCUGCCUAGAUGUUGCACCCCUAAGUAAAUAGUGUAAUGCUACUGACAGCAAACACAUUGAUAACUUAUUAUACUCUGUCUGAUUUGUUUGCAAUGAAAACAUAGAAUGUGCAGCAGAAAUUGAUGAUAUAACCUUCAUCCUUCUUUGAAUAUUUUAAAAUCUUAUAUACAUUGCUCUGAAAGAGUAUGCUAAGGGAUGUAUGAUCUCUCUGAAUCUUCAAGGCUGAUGGUCUUUUGGUUAUCUAUGAUAAAGAAAGAUAUGUUGUUGUGGAUAGCAUUUGCAUGCAAAUUGACUAUCCAUUGUAAUAAUUUUUAUCAGACAUUGAUCAUCAGAUCCCGAGUCCCAUUAGUUGGUGUUUUUUGAGGCAAAACAAAGGGACUUGUAGUAAAGAACUGCUUGUCUGUGACUGAAGGAAGCUGUUGCGGCCGCCAGCAGCUCGCAACAUGAACGGUUCGACUGAGAAGGCCACUCGAGCUGUAAGAGAGGAAUCUAGACGGGGCGAAAGAAGAAACGGAGCUAAGACAAAUUCAUUCUGAUCAAAGCUCAAAUUUUAUUGUUGCGACACUAGUUAUAAAGGAAGGGGGAGGGGACCCGACUCCCGCCGAAUAAUCUCUGGUCCAGUAGAAAGGUGCACGUGUGUGGCUCCGCAGGUUCCAGCAGUGGGCAUGGCAGAACGAAUGAGCAGGAAGCUCCACCCCUGAGCAAGCAGGUUUCAGGCUGGGGGAGGGGAGACUACAGGAAGCCAUGACAGUCCUCAUGUAUUUAGGUAAUUUAUUUGUUUAUGGCCCCCAGAUCACUUUCCCCAUUUUAUAGUUUAUCUCUAAUGGCAAAUAAAAUUGAAUUUCAGCUCUACUUCCAUAUUUAUUAUGUGUGAUGAUAUUUCUCUAACAUAUUUGAAUUUCCUGAUUUAAAAUAAAAAGCCGUGUCUUUAAAGUUAUUAUCUUCAAUCCCAGUACUCAGGAGGCAGAGGCAGAGGUAGGAAGGCGAGCAGUUCAGCGUUAUCCCCUGCUACAUAGUGAGCUUGAAGCCAGCUUGGGAUACAUGAGAUCUUGUCUU
rnacentral:lncRNA from 1 species